AACCUCGGGAAACUGAGAAUAAUACCCCAUAGGUUUAGGGUGCUGGAAUGCUUCUAUGCUGAAAACUCCGGUGCCCCAGGAUUGGUCUGCGGCUUAUCAGGUUGUAGUGGGUGUAACGGACCCACUAGCCUAUGACGAGUAUGGGCCUUGAGAGAGGAAGCCCACAGAUGGACUCUGAGACAUGAGUCCAGGCCCUACGGGGCGCAGCAGUCGCGAAAACUUCACAAUGGGAGAAAUCCCGAUGAGGGAAUACCAAGUGCCAGCACUUUUGUGUUGGCUGUUCCCCUGUCUAAAAAACAGGAGAAGUAAGGGCCGGGUAAGACGGGUGCCAGCCGCCGCGGUAAUACCCGCGGCCCGAGUGGUGGUCGAUAUUAUUGAGCCUAAAACGUCCGUAGCCGGUCUCAUAAAUCCUUGGGUAAAUCGGCCAGCUUAACUGUCCGAAGUCCGAGGAGACUGUGAGACUUGGGAUCGGGAGAGGUCAGAGGUACUUCUGGGGUAGGGGUAAAAUCCUGUAAUCCUGGAAGGACCACCGGUGGCGAAGGCGUCUGACUAGAACGAAUUCGACGGUGAGGGACGAAGCCCUGGGGCGCAAACGGGAUUAGAUACCCCGGUAGUCCAGGGUGUAAACGCUGCGGGCUUGGUGUUGGGGGUCCUUUGUGGGCGCCCAGUGCCGGAGAGAAGUUGUUAAGCCUGCUGCUUGGGAGUACGUCCGCAAGGAUGAAACUUAA
rnacentral:rRNA from 1 species